rnacentral:rRNA from 1 species
AGGACGAACGCUGGCGGCGUGCUUAACACAUGCAAGUCGAGCGGAAAGGCCCUUCGGGGUACUCGAGCGGCGAACGGGUGAGUAACACGUGAGCAACCUGCCCUUAGCUUCGGGAUAGCUCCGGGAAACCGGAAUUAAUACCGGAUAUGACUAUGGCCGACAUCAGCCAUGGUGGAAAGUUUUUCGGCUAGGGAUGGACUCGCGGCCUAUCAGCUAGUUGGUGAGGUAACGGCUCACCAAGGCGACGACGGGUAGCCGGCCUGAGAGGGCGACCGGCCACACUGGGACUGAGACACGGCCCAGACUCCUACGGGAGGCAGCAGUGGGGAAUAUUGCGCAAUGGGCGAAAGCCUGACGCAGCGACGCCGCGUGGGGAUGAAUGCCUUCGGGUUGUAAACCCCUUCAGCAGGGACGAAGCGAAAGUGACGGUACCUGCAGAAGAAGCGCCGGCUAACUACGUGCCAGCAGCCGC